rnacentral:rRNA from 1 species
AUUGAACGCUGGCGGCAGGCCUAACACAUGCAAGUCGAACGAGUGGCGGACGGGUGAGUAAUGUCUGGGAAACUGCCUGCUGGAGGGGGAUAACUACUGGAAACGGUAGCUAAUACCGCAUACCAUCAGAUGUGCCCUGAGGGGAUUCGCUAGUUGGUGGGGUAACGGCUCACCCAGGCGACGACCCCUAGCUGGUCUGAGAGGAUGACAAGCCACACUGGAACUGAGACACGGGCCAGACGCCUACGGGAGGCAGCAGGGGGGAAUAGGGCACGAUGGGCGCAAGCCUGAUGCAGCCAUGCCGCGUGUAGGAAGAAGGCCUGCGGGUUGGAAAGUACUAACAGCGGGGAGGCGUUACCCGCAGAAGAAGCACCGGCUAACUCCGUGCCAGCAGCCGCGGUAAUUC